rnacentral:lncRNA from 1 species
GAACCCCUCGACUCGGCGCCUCCCGCCGCCUCCCGCCCGCCGCUCCAAGUCGCUGCAUCCAAGACAGCCAGCGCCCUGCUCUGCACGCCCACAGCGGGCGAAACGCUUUUCCCGCUCACGUGCGGAAGUGCAAGCUUCGAGGAAACCCCCGUGAAAAGAAACACCCAAGCACAACCCGCGCCCCCGACUCACAAAGCGAACACUCCCAACCCAGCCAGCGGCGCGGAGCCGGGCCAACGCAGGAAAAGAUCGUACUUACAGCCGAUCCUUUGGAAUCUUGGAACCUAUUUCCAAAGCUUUAUAAUGCACACCAAAAAAAAUCUGACACUAAAGGGUUUGAUAUGAUUAGCUGAAGAACCUGCUUGGAACGGCUCCCUUCCACAUAAGCUACUGUCUUCCACUUUAUGUCUUGGCUUUUUUCUACUAUGAAAAUGGCUUCCAAGUACCUGGCAGUUCUACCAGCUCCAAGCUUCUGGAACCCAUCUGGGCAAUAAAACAGUUGCAAGUUUGGCCA